rnacentral:rRNA from 1 species
CCUACGGGAGGCUGCAGUGAGGAAUAUUGCUCAAUGGGGGAGAGCCUGAAGCAGCAAAGCCGCGUGAAGGAUGACGGUUUUAUGGGUUGUAACUCCUUUUGUUAGAGGAGCUAAUGACUGUAUCUGACGACUAAGCACGGGCUAACGCCGUAACAGCAUCCGCGGGAAUCGGGCGGGUACACGCGGUACUCGGGAUCACUUGAGUGAAAGCGCGCGUAGGCGGGAUAGUAAGUCCGAUGGGAAAUCUUAUGGCUUAACCAUAGAACUGCAUUUGAAACUGUUAUUCUAGAGUAUGGGAGAGGUAGGUGGAAUUCUUGGUGUAGGGGUAAAAUCCGGAGAGAUCAAGAGGAAUACUCAUUGCGAAGGCGACCUGCCAGAACACAACUGACGCUGAUGCGCGAAAGCGUGGGGAGCAAACAGGAUUAGAUACCCUUGUAGUC